rnacentral:rRNA from 1 species
CCUACGGGAGGCAGCAGUGGGGGAUAUUGCACAAUGGGGGAAACCCUGAUGCAGCGACGCCGCGUGGGUGAAGAAGCGCCUCGGCGCGUAAAGCCCUGUCAGCAGGGAAGAAGAUGAUGGUAGCUGCAGAAGAAGCCCCGGCUACCUACGUGCCAGCAGUCGCGGUAGUACGUAGGGGGCAAGCGUUAUCCGGGUUUACUGGGUGUAAAGGGGGCGCAGACGGCGAAGCAAGCCAGGAGUGAAAGCCCGGGGCCCAACCCCGGGACUGCUUUUGGAACUGCGUGGCUAGAGUGCAGGAGGGGCAGGCGGAAUUCCUGGUGUAGCGGUGAAAUGCGUAGAUAUCAGGAGGAACACCGGUGGCGAAGGCGGCCUGCUGGACUGCAACUGACGUUGAGGCCCGAAAGCGUGGGGAGCAAACAGGAUUAGAUACCCCUGUAGUC